rnacentral:rRNA from 1 species
AACGAACGCUGGCGGCAGGCUUAACACAUGCAAGUCGAACGCAUCCUUCGGGAUGAGUGGCAGACGGGUGAGUAACGCGUGGGAAUCUACCCAUCCCUACGGGAUAGCUCCGGGAAACUGGAAUUAAUACCGUAUACGUCCUUCGGGAGAAAGAUUUAUCGGGGAUGGAUGAGCCCGCGUUGGAUUAGCUAGUUGGUGGGGUAAAGGCCUACCAAGGCGACGAUCCAUAGCUGGUCUAAGAGGAUGAUCAGCCACAUUGGGACUGAGACACGGCCCAAACUCCUACGGGAGGCAGCAGUGGGGAAUAUUGGACAAUGGGCGCAAGCCUGAUCCAGCCAUGCCGCGUGAGUGAUGAAGGCCCUAGGGUUGUAAAGCUCUUUCAGUGGGGACGAUAAUGACGGUACCCACAGAAGAAGCCCCGGCUAACUUCGUGCCAGCCGCCGCGGUAACAC